rnacentral:rRNA from 1 species
UACAGAGGGGGCUAGCGUUGUUCGGAAUUACUGGGCGUAAAGGGCGCGUAGGCGGUGGACCAAGUCAGGCGUGAAAGCCCCGGGCUCAACCUGGGAACCGCGCUUGAGACUGGUGCGCUAGAGUUCGGGAGAGGAUGGUGGAAUUCCCAGUGUAGAGGUGAAAUUCGUAGAUAUUGGGAAGAACACCGAUGGCGAAGGCAGCCAUCUGGACCGACACUGACGCUGAGGCGCGAAAGCGUGGGGAGCAAACAGG